AUUUACUAAGCUUGACCUUAGGAGCGCUUACAAUUUGGUUAGAAUUAAAGAGAAUCAUGAGUGGAAGAUGGCAUUUAAUACCCGUAGUGGACACUAUGAAUAUCUGGUAAUGCCAUUUGGGUUAUGCAACGCCCCGACCGUAUUCCAAGACUUUAUAAAUGAUGUACUCAGGGAAUUCAUUUACUCAUUUGUCUUGGUUUAUUUGGACGAUAUUUUGGUGUAUUCCCCUGAUCUUCAGACUCACCACUUCCAUGUGAAACAGGAUCUGCAGACGUUGUUGAAAAAUAAAC